UAGAUAUUUAGAUGUUUGUGUUUCAGGGUCAGGAAACAUCUUCAGCAUCACAGCAGUUGUAUGCAGGAUGCAGGAAAUACACGUGUAACGAAAUAACGGAGGUACCGGUUCGCUGUUGCGCACGCGCCGAGUAAGUGGGCGGAGUUAGUGAGUGUGCGGCGCGUGCUGACCGGCGUGUCUGGAGCGUGGGUUCUGUGUUUGUUCUUCAACAUUUAAGUUACGUUUAUUUCUAGAAUAAUCCACUGGAUUCUGCAGAUUGUGCUUGAUCUACUCGGAGAAGGAGGCCAUGGGCUCAGACAUACAGAGCAGAAGAGCAGCAUUUCAUGUUCAGUUUCUGCAGAGACUCCGAGAAGCUCACCAAGCUGUUUAUUUUUACACGUGAGCACUUUUCCUGCCCUUACAGAGGUUCUUCUGAGGGGACACGUAGGACGACAUAACAGGCCCCAAGUUCUCACUGAACUGUUAGCAAAAAACCUGAAACUGAGGAAAAGUAAAUCCUCCACUGGACUGAAGCACACAUUUUUCUAAUCUAAUUUUAUUGCCUAAUUCAGAAAUUCAUAAUGAUGGUGUUUUUAAAAAGUUUGAGUGAAGAAUGUCGGACAUGGAUCUUUCCAGAACCUUCAGAUUUCUGAUUAAAUUAGACUCUGAAAUAAAUGAUUUAAUUCAAAUUCACAAAAUGAACCAUAAAGAAAGUCAGAAAAGCUGAAGCUCUUCACGCGUUUGACUGAUCACAGGACGCAGUUCACUCACUAGUUUUUAUUCACAAAUAUUAACUUAUUAAUAAAAACAAUUACACACAGCAACACGAGUUUAAAAUGAAAUCAUGGACACACACACACACACACACACACACACACACAGGGAACAAAGCGGGUCCACGUGCGUGUGUGACGUUAACAGUCAAUUCAUGUUAAAAUUGUUUUAUUUUGUAUAGUUUUCAAUUUAAUCGCGAACGCGUGCGCACACAAUCAGUACACAGACAAAUCCCUUAAAAAAUAAUCUGCAGCGCCGCCUGGUGGCUACUUCCGGUAACUCCGGAUCACAUCGAGUAUUACAAAAUAGUGUCCGUU